ACAUGGCACAUUUUCUAGUGACCAGCUACCAGGAGAAGCAGGCUCCUGAAACUGCAAUUCAGGGAGGUAAUGUGCAGUCAACCUCAACACCCAGUAAGCGAACAGCAGCUAAAAUGUUGCAUCGAUUAUCUCCAACUGAACCUCUGUCUGAGGGGUUAGUAUCUUUUCUGUAAAACAAAUAUUCACGUUUUUGUGCUAUGAUAUUUCAUACAUUAAAUUACACCUUGCAUAUCCACACUUGGUUUAGAACUAACAUCACACCACCAAACACUUCUGACAUUAUCUUUACAGGGAAGAUUUUCUAAUGGCUGGUGUUGAGGCCUUAGCUGAUGACCUAGAUUUGGAUCCUUUUGAAGAAAGUUUCAAAUCCAUGGAUCUAGCUACGGAUGCAGUCCAAAUUGAUGAGGACCAAGCAAACAACUUACUCAACAGUGUGUGAGUUGCAAUGUCUUCUUAUCUAGGGGUGGGCAAUAUAAACGAUAUAAGGUAGAAAUGAUAUAAAAUUGGGUAAUUUUACGGCCCCCAGCUCGUCUAGGAGAUGAUGUUAAAGGGGGCGUAAAGAAAGAUAUGUGAAUUACCGGACAAAACCAAGAUUUACUCUCUUAGAGGAGUUUAUUAACUAAAAAACACUGCUUUAUGCAGGCUAAGACAAAAUGAAUACAAAACCAAAAGGACGUCCCACUGGGGAAUUAACAAUACUAAACAGAAGGAUCAUCCAAUACAGGGUAAAUAACAAUACUAUUAAUAAACACAAAACGCCGGUACUAAUCCGGGAAAGUAAAGGAAUGAGACAAACACAAAAGGCUACACCAAAAGGGUGAGCUGAACUCUUUAACGAGUAUUCUAAUGGAGACAAAAACGAGCUCUGGCUACUAGGAAGUGUACCACACAGGUAAUCAAAACGAAGACUUUAACGUCUGGUUUGCUAGGAGGGAAAAAGAGGAACACUCGCUUUAACACCAGGCCUCUGCUAAGCUUCCCUCCUCGAAUGACAGAGGGAGCUGCCUUUUAUAGGAAGCUCCCUGACUGAGAAGAUUAGCGACACCUGGCUCAGCUAGAGCCAGGUGAACAGGUAGGAGCUCUGAGGCCACCUUGUGGCCACAAAACAGACAACGUCUGUAACAGGUAAUGAUAGUUUUUGGCUAUAUCGCAAUACGGCGAUAUUGUGAUAACACAUGACGUCACUAAGAUGUGCACCCUGCUGACAAUGGGACAACAGAAUGGCGGUGACUGCAAGCAUGGAGUGGGCGGAGGAGGAGGCCUAUAUGCCUCAAGUGGCAUAUAUUUGCCACAUGAGGAUAUCUAAAAGCAUGUCAAUUUGACAUCUAUAAACAGAUGAAAAAAUAUAUCGCAAUAUAUAUCGUUACUGCACAUGCUUCAGAUUAUAUCACAAUAUAGAUUUGAGGCCAUAUUUCCCAGCCCUAUUCUUAUCUACACUCUUUUUUUAAACUCCAAAGUCUUAAAACAAUAUAUUAAUUCUACUUUUAUUUAUUGUUUUCAUAACAGAAUAGAACUGUUAUGAAAACUUUGUCAGGCUGACGAAGUUUGCAGCCGCAAACAAAACGUUGCAGGUAAAUAAAACCCUUCUAUGUUUUAAAAAGAACUAAAAGAUGGAAUUGUUGUUUUAUCCUUGUUCACAGACUGGGAUCCUAAAGGGAAUUUCCAUCCUACUUGUGUGGCUGAAUGACAUCUUCAACCAAUUUUGGUACAUUUGUCAGAAAGCACAACAUCGUGAUAUGUUUAAUGACAUGUGGGUGGGUGUGCUUCACCAUGUCACAGGGAAGCAUGAAUGGACCCGUGGCAAAUGUGACCAUGGACCACUUGAUGCAACGUGGCAUGGUGCCAGGAUCUCCACCACACGAGGCUCUUCAACGAAUCAUGUUCAACAGACGCUGGUUGAAGGAUGCCACCAAUCU